ACGCCACUGACGCUCAUGCACGAAAGCGUGGGUAUCGAACAGGAUUAGAUACCCUGGUAGUCCACGCGGUAAACGAUGAUUACUAGCUGUCCGGCGCGACUGAGCGCUGGGUGGCACAGCGAAAGCGUUAAGUAAUCCACCUGGGGAGUACGCCGGCAACGGUGAAACUCAAAGGAAUUGACGGGGGCCCGCACAAGCGGAGGAACAUGUGGUUUAAUUCGAUGAUACGCGAGGAACCUUACCCGGGCUCAAACGACAGUGGAAUGCGCCUGAAAGGGCGCAGCCGGCAACGGCCGCUGUCGAGGUGCUGCAUGGUUGUCGUCAGCUCGUGCCGUGAGGUGUCGGCUCAAGUGCCAUAACGAGCGCAACCCCCAUCUCCAGUUGCCAUCAUUCGGUUGGGCACUCUGGAGAGACUGCCGGCGCAAGCCGUGAGGAGGGCGGGGAUGACGCCAAAUCAGCACGGCCCUUACGUCCGGGGCGACACACGUGUUACAAUGGCGUGCACAGAGGGAAGCCACCCGGCGACGGGGCGCGGAUCCCGGAAAGCACGUCUCAGUUCGGAUCGGAGUCUGCAACCCGACUCCGUGAAGCUGGAUUCGCU
rnacentral:rRNA from 1 species